AAAAAAUGGCCAUUCAACAAAGAUUUGAUUGGACUAGAAAGAUGUGAAACACGAACCGCCAAUGCUUAACCGCAUCCCAUAGCGGUUUGCCAUUCAUUCAUGAACUGGCACUGGCUUUCUUUUAUCUAGUUCAAACGAUUCCUACUGACUCUUCUUUCACACUUUCCAGGAAAUUCCAUAACCCCCAGGAAUAAAGGACACUCAAUCAAGAUCUCUUCUAAUUUCAUAACGGCACCCGAAGCUCAUUGGGCUUUCAGAGGCAUAACAGGGAAGAGCGGACCAGCUAAACUCACUGCAAAGAAAGCAGUCGCAGCCGGGGAUCUCUUUUUUUUGCUGGAUGUAGUGUUUGCGCACCAACAGGAGUCGGGCCUUGGUUGUUUCAGUACAUUCAGUUCCAAGUCAAUGUUGUUCGCGUAGUUCGU
rnacentral:lncRNA from 1 species